AUUGACUGAGUCAUCUCUCUGAAGUUAGUUUAAGGCUUAAUUUAGAUGGAAAAAAGCUGGUGUUUCACUUCAGUUUACUGUCAGUGACAGGCCAAGAACUCAGCUAGUUCCUGAAGACUGUGCUGAGGGCAUAUCUGUGCUGAAUUCUCAUCACCAACCACAGGUAGAACUUCCCUUCCUGGUAUCCACUGCCUUGCAAAUCACACCUUGCAAUCAGGUCUCCCCUUCAGAUGGGAUCCUCCAAGCAUCUUUCCUGGUGCUCUUCUCUCUGCAUCUCCCACCAAAAAGCUCCAAACCAGACUACUGUCCUUCAGAUAACUCUUCCAGCACAGCUCCUGAGAAUGUUCCACCUAUCAAAGAGGAGGAUAAACACUUUUUGAAGUACAGGCCAUCCUUGGGUUAAGGGCAACUGACUUAUGGACUGACAACUAUCAGCUACGAGACCUGGGCCUCAGUAUUUAUAUAUUUACCUAUAUAUAAAUGAGCUUCCAUAAUAUGAUUAAAUUCAGAUGUCUGAUGUUUGAACAUACUUCUGUCCUUACAAACAGCUGAGCUAGUUUCUUUUCUUUUUUUAGAAAUUGUACUUCCUUAUCAGUCAUGCAUGUUUUUAGUGUCACUGAUUGCAAUAUGUACAAAAAUGGUUACCGUAGUGAGAGAUUUUUAUGAAUUUUUUAACUAAAGGACAAAAUUGACCUUUGGAUGUGUCUGGAACCUGGCAAUGGUGUGUAUGUAAAACCAGCCAGUAUUAUUGUAAGUGGACAAAAGGAAUUAUUCAGAUUCAAGAUAAAUUAAUCAUUAGCACCUGUUGGUGUGUAUUUGUGAAAUGGGAUUCAAAUCAGCACUAAGAGCUGGAAAUUAGCCAUGGAUCACAAAGGUUGGACACACUAUAGAGAUUACAAAUGAACUGAACUUUGGAAGCAGAGUGUAACAUGCAGUUUAUUAUAUGGUACUCUUAAUUUUGUCAUUCAUGGAAAAGCCAGUGUAUAAUUAUUACCUCAUCUAUACUUGACAAAGUGUUGGUGAAUCUUUCUCAACCAUGUCAUGGUUGAGGGAAACUACUCCCACAAUGCCAUUAACAAAGAAGUUCCAUAAUUUUGACCCUACAGGAAUGAAAGAACACAUUUCCAUCACAGCAUGGAGGAAAAGCACUAACUGGCUGUGUUCUUGUGCGGGUUCUUUACAUAGUCAGUCACUGAUCUCAGAGGUGUAAAGGAAGGACGUGUUCUAACACAGCUGCAGUAUAUUGUAGUCAUGGUACAUUAUUGGCAGACAGAAUGAUAGUUCCGGGUAAUAAAUUACAAAUAGGGUUUUUUUUUUAUUAAGUGCAAUCGUGAACAAUAGCCAGAUCAGAAAUGCUGAUCAAGUCAACUAGUUACCAAAGAAAACACUGAUAGGCCAAUCAGAUGGUUCACUGCUGCUCAGCGAUAGAACACAAAAAAAUCACAUGUACAAUUAAGAAACAUUAAAAAAACAGAAAUACUGGAGUCAUGAUGAUCAUGAUGAAGUCUGCUGGAGAGAGACAUUUAUACACAUGCUGUCCUCCGUAAUUCAAAGAGAUUGAAGGAUAAGGUUACAGGGUGACAAAACGUGGCAGGAGCACUUGGAACUAAAAACUAAUCCCUACUGGGAGAAAAUAGCACCUGUUCUAGGGUACCAAUAUUUGGAUUAUAUUUUUUGUGUGAAUGUACUUUACUGUUAUCUUAUAUGUGCCAUAUGCUUUAUGCUGUGUAUGACUGUUCAUACUGUGUUUUGCACCUUGGCCCUAAAGUAACACUGUUUUGUUUGGCUGUAUUCAUGGGUAUGUAUGGUUGUAUGAACUUGAACUAUGAGUUAUGAAUAAAACUUGAACACUGAGCUAUGAAUAAAACAGA